AGCGAGGGCCGGAGCGGGGUUGAGGCUUGGGUGCAGAGCUGGAGAACCGCGGCUGGGGCCGGAGUGAGGAGCGCGGCGUGGAGGUGCCACCCGCGGGUGGCGGAGAGAUCAGAAGCCUCUUCCUCAAGCCGAGCCAACCUCAGCGGGGACCCGGGCUCAGGGGCGCGGCGGCGGCGACUGCAGCGGCUGGACGAUGGCAGCGCCCGCCGAAGCCGGGGCGGUGAUUGCAGCCCCAGACAGCCGGCGCUGGCUGUGGUCGGUGCUGGCGGCGGCGCUUGGGCUCUUGACAGCUGGAGUAUCAGCCUUGGAAGUAUAUACGCCAAAAGAAAUCUUCGUGGCAAAUGGUACACAAGGGAAGCUGACCUGCAAGUUCAAGUCUACUAGUACAACUGGCGGGUUGACCUCAGUCUCCUGGAGCUUCCAGCCAGAGGGGGCCGACACUACUGUGUCGGUAAGAAUGCUUGACUGCUCUUGGCUAGUCCUGCCUCACAGGUUUCUUUACUGCUGUAUAAUUAGUGAUCCAUUUUUCUGAUGGUUCAUUUCCAAAAUGAGUGUAUUUUUUAUCUAUUAUAGCCUUCAAGGCCCUUCUCUUGCUUCA
rnacentral:sRNA from 1 species